CCUCCACACUGUCCAAAAUUUCCAACUCGUCGUCUUCUUCUUCCUUCUCGUUCCUCUGCUUACAUACCGUAACUCCAUGGAUUUCACUUCUACAAGGUCGAAGAAGAAUGGAACCUCAAAUUCCAAUGACUCUGACGGCCGCGACAGCAGAGCGGUAGUCAGAAGGAGGCCGCCGACGAUAGCGGAGCUUUUGGCAUCCACAAGCUCUACACUCGCGACGAUCAUGUUCACGUGGACGAUCAUCCGCCAGUACUGCCCUCACGACCUCCGCCAAUAUCUCCAUAGAUAUUUAAACAACUUCAUCGAUUACAUCUAUCCUAAUCCGUACGUUCGAAUCGCAAUCUACGAAUUCGUUGGCGAACGCCUCAAUCGAAGCAAAGCCUUCGCAGCGGUUGAAUCUUAUCUGAGCACUAAACUUUCAGAUGAUGCGAAAAGACUCAAAGCCGAGGUCGGGGAUAACAAGAACAAUUUCUCACUGAAUAUAGACGAGUACGAAAAAAUUACCGAUGAAUAUGAAAACGCCGAAUUCUGGUGGACUUUGAGCAAAAUCUCUGGAUCGGCAAAGAAAUCUACCUCUCUGUAUCCAGAGCCCGAUCGGAGAUACUACCAACUUAAAUUUCAUAAGAAGCAUCGAAACCUUGUAACUGAAUCGUAUUUGAAGCAUGUACUGAAGGAAGGGAGAGAAAUCAAAGUGAAUCGAAGGCAGAGGAAGCUGUACACUAAUGGAACUGGAAAUCGAUGGACGAUUCACCGGCAAUCGACGAUGUGGAGCGAAGUGUACUUCGAGCAUCCUGCUAACUUUGAUACAAUCGCCAUGGAUCCAGAGAAGAAGCAAGAGAUUGUGGAAGAUUUACUCACAUUUAGGGAAAGCAAAGAUUAUUACGCUAGAAUCGGCAAAGCUUGGAAACGAGGCUACCUUCUGUACGGCCCGCCAGGGACGGGGAAAUCGACGAUGAUAGCCGCCAUGGCAAAUUUGCUCAACUACGACGUUUACGAUUUGGAAUUAACGGCGGUGAAGGACAAUACAGAGCUUCGGAAGCUUCUAAUUGAAACGACGAGUAAAUCGAUAAUCGUUAUCGAAGACAUCGAUUGUUCACUGGAACUCACAGGGCAGAGGAAAAUCAAGAAGGAAGAAAGCUCGAAAGAUGAGGAGAAAGUGAAAGAGAAAGAGAAGUUAAUUAAGGAACAUUUGAAGAGAGAAGAAGAAGAAGUGAAAAGCAGAGUGACUCUGUCUGGAUUGCUGAAUUUCAUCGACGGAAUUUGGUCGGCGUGCGGCGGAGAGAGGCUGAUCGUUUUCACCACAAAUCACGUGGAGAAGCUCGAUCCAGCGUUAAUUCGAAGUGGACGAAUGGACAAACACAUCGAGCUCUCUUACUGCACCUUUCAAGCCUUCAAAGUACUGUCUAAGAACUACUUGAACAUCGAAACACAUGAGCUUUUUGAGGAGAUUCAAGACCUUAUCAAAGGAGCAAAAAUCACGCCGGCGGAUGUUGCAGAGAAUCUCAUGCCGAAGUCCCGGCAAGAAGCCGCUGAGAAUUCUCUUCGUAGGUUGAUUCGUAGCCUGGAAGAGCUGAAGCGCGCGGCGGAGAUUGAGUCAACGAAGGAAGAGAAACGGGCAGAAAAAUCAAAAGAAUCUCCAAAAUCAAUAGCUGUUCUUGAAAGUGUGGACUGAUUGGUCAGGAUUUUGGCUUGCGGAGCAAGGCAAGAAAAUGGUGACGAGCAAUGAAGAAGGAAAAUGGUUAAACAAAAGAAUCCAAAAUUUAUAUAUUCUAUGCCAUUUGGAAGGUUUGAGAGGUGACCCAACAAUUUUUUAUUCAGCACUAAGGUUAGUGGUCUUUACUUUUUUCUUUUGGUGAAAGUCCAAGUAAGAUCGUGAUGAUGAGCUAAUGAUGAUUCGUUCAUGCUGUAGGCAAGUUGAAUGGGUAAGUUAAUUCUAGCCAAUUAUAUUAGGGGUAGGAUUAUCUAGCCAGGUCACAUUAAUGAACAUGUUGUAAAAUCUAUUAGCUUGACACCCCUCGAUCUAAAUAUUGACGUACGUGUUAAACAUGUUGGACAUAAAAAGUGAUAUAAGACUUAGCUCCACCUGGUCU